CAGAAGGGUCCCGACUGCGCUCGCCUAAGUUGGGGCCGGCAGAGUGGGUUGGGAGGCUGGGGCUGGGCGAGACUCGCGGGCCCGGUUUAAAUCAACAAAUAAUUGCCAAGUCCCCUCCUCCUCUGGGACUACCUCAAGAUAUAACAGAUGUUGGAAGACACGAAAGAAAGGUCAAGGUAAUCCAAGAUCACAGGAUUCCUUGAUGGCAUAACUGGAAUUAGAAAACAGGCAUGACUGUAAGGAGGAACUACGGAAUGCUAACUACAUGCCCGGCUCUAUGCUAGGCACAUUACAUCUGUGAUUUCACUGAUAUCUUUUAAGACACCUAAUGAGGUGGAAUGCCACAUCCAAAGACAUUACAAAUUCUUCUUAUGUUAGGGAAGGCAAGACACCCCCACCUCCAACAGUUAUGCAGCAUCAGCAAAAACAGAGUCCAAAACAACUGUGCAUCACACUGGGAGCCAGUGAAGGAGAGGGAACGGAGAGCAGGUGUUCGGCUGCCUGGUGAAUGGUCCAUUUAAAAAUUCAACAAUAGUCAGAGGGGAGUAGAGAGUACAACAGCCACCACCGUAAUUGGUGAAAUCAGGAUUUCUCAAUUCAGUGUAAACUCACACCCUAAAAGAAGGCACACUAUAAAGCAGAUUUCCAUAAACCCAGCGCAUCAUUUACUCUUAACGAUAUUAUUUUAAAAGCAUGCUCUUCAGGCAAAAUCGCUGAAAGACCUACUCAAGCAACAA
ensembl:lncRNA novel transcript